UACGUAGGCGGAAUAUUAAGUCAGUGGUGAAAUCCUGCGGCUCAACCGUAGAACUGCCAUUGAUACUGAUAUUCUUGAAUGUAGUUGAGGUAGGCGGAAUGUGUAAUGUAGCGGUGAAAUGCUUAGAUAUUACACAGAACACCGAUUGCGAAGGCAGCUUACUAAACCAUGAUUGACGCUGAUGUACGAAAGCGUGGGGAGCGAACAGGAUUAGAUACCCUGGUAGUC
rnacentral:rRNA from 1 species